GAUACUCACAUUUCGUCUUGGCUUGAGGGAGGUCGCUCCCCCCCUUGAGCGGUGCGCUCCGGAGUUGGUCACCACUGGGCGUGGUAAAGUCCCCCCAGAUGACGGUCCCUAGGGAGGUUCGAGUCCCCCGCUAUUAAGGGAUUUUGGGUGGUGAGUUAUUGGGGUUAACAAGGUUAACCGGUAAAAUUGGGUAAGAGCCAAAGCUUCUUUGUGAUUUGAGCAUGCAUGCAUUUCUAUUAUUGCAUCGAGUAUAUGUAUCCACUGACAUUCUUCUGCAGGCAGGGUAUUAGAUGCAUUAGUAUUGGUUACUUCUCUUUCCUUUGUAAUACUUAUGCCUGGAUAGACCUAGUGGGUAAGUAGCGAGGUCGGAUGCCG
rnacentral:lncRNA from 1 species